rnacentral:rRNA from 1 species
UACAGAGGCUGCAAGCGUUAUUCGGAUUCACUGGGCGUAAAGGGUGCGCAGGCGGCCGUGUGUGUCAGGUGUGAAAGCCCGGGGCUUAACCCCGGAAUUGCGCCUGAAACUACAUGGCUAGAGCAUUGGAGAGGGUAGCGGAAUUCACGGUGUAGCAGUGAAAUGCGUAGAUAUCGUGAGGAACACCAGAGGCGAAGGCGGCUACCUGGACAAUUGCUGACGCUCAGGCACGAAAGCGUGGGGAGCAAAAGGG